UACGGAGGGGACUAGCGUUGUUCGGAAUUACUGGGCGUAAAGAGCUCGUAGGCGGUUUCGUAAGUCGGAUGUGAAAACUCCAGCUCAACUUGGAGACGCCAUUCGAUACUGCGAUGACUUGAGUCCGGUAGGGGAGUGUGGAAUUCCUGGUGUAGCGGUGAAAUGCGCAGAUAUCAGGAGGAACACCGGCGGCGAAGGCGGCACUCUGGGCCGGUACUGACGUGGAGAACGCGAAAGCCGUGGGGAGCAAACAGG
rnacentral:rRNA from 1 species